rnacentral:tRNA from 1 species
GUUUUUGUAGUGUAACGGUAGUACAUUCUACUCGUAUUCGAGAGGUCUAGGGUUCGAGUCUCUGCGAGGUCA